ensembl:snRNA U5 U5 spliceosomal RNA
UAGCUCAGGUUUCUCUUCAUUCAGGCACAAAUCUUUCACCUUUUACUAAAGAUGUCCGUGGAGGGGAAAGUUGACGGGUUCUUAUUUUUGAAGGCUCUGCUAUGGCUUAUGGGCG